GACAGAGGGUGCAAACGUUGUUCGGAUUUACUGGGCGUAAAGCGCGUGUAGGCGGCUUGGCAAGUCGGAUGUGAAAGCCCACGGCUCAACCGUGGAAGCGCAUCCGAAACGGCCUCGCUCGAGUCUCGGAGAGGAAGGUGGAAUGCUUGGUGUAGAGGUGAAAUUCGUAGAUAUCAAGCAGAACACCUGCGGCGAAUGCGGCCUUCUGGACGAUGACUGACGCUGAGACGCGAAAGCGUGGGGAGCAAACAGG
rnacentral:rRNA from 1 species